CACCGGCAGCUCGAGUGGUUGCCGCGUUUAUUGGACCUAAAGCGUUCGUAGCCGGACAUGCAAGUCUCCAGGUAAAUUGCGCGUUUAAUCGUGCGACUUCUGGAGAAACUGCCUGUCUUGAGGCCGGGAGAGGUGAGAGGUACUCCGAGGGUAGCGGUAAAAUGCUAUAAUCCUCGGGGGACCACCGGUGGCGAAGGCGUCUCACUGGAACGGCCCUGACGGUGAGUAACGAAACCUAGGGGAGCGAGCC
rnacentral:rRNA from 1 species